CCGACGUCAUAAGAUAAGAGUGGCAGCUGACACAAGGAGAAAGAAACAUUGAAAACGAGAAGAGUAAUAAAAACACAUAAACGAUAAAUAAGACGAAAACAAGACAAUAGGACAGAGAGAGAGAGAGAGAGAGAGAGAGAGAGAGAGCAGUGAGCGCAAGAACCAGUACGAAGAGGAACGCAGAAAGAGGAAAAGGGGGAGUGUGCGCUUGAUGCUGCUUCAGAUUUAAGGAGAAAGGAGAGAGAGAGAGAGAGAGAGAGAGAGAGAGAGAGGGAGCGAGAAAGAGACAGAGAGAGAGAGAGAGAAAGAGAGAGAGUGGGUGGGUGGGAAGGAGGGAGAGAGAGAAAGCAGCCGGCCAACUGAAGAAAGAUGGCUACAGUAACAGCGAACGGAGUGCAGCAAGAGAAUGGAUUCAGCACCACGAACAGCGCCGGUAGGAUGAACGGACUCGCACUCGGACAGAACACUAUUCCCAUGAAAGACCACGACGCCAUCAAGCUGUUUAUCGGGCAGAUACCGAGAAAUCUGGAGGAGAAGGACCUGAAACCCCUGUUUGAGGAAUUCGGCAAGAUAUACGAACUCACAGUGCUGAAAGACAGAUUUACAGGAAUGCAUAAAGGAUGUGCCUUUCUAACAUACUGUGCCAGAGAGUCCGCCCUGAAGGCCCAGAGUGCCCUGCAUGAACAGAAGACCCUGCCGGGGAUGAACCGGCCAAUCCAGGUGAAGCCAGCAGACAGCGAAGGGCGAGGAGAAGACAGGAAGCUGUUUGUGGGGAUGCUGGGAAAGCAGCAGAGCGAGGAAGACGUGCGGCGGCUGUUCGAGGCCUUCGGCCAAAUCGAGGAGUGCACCAUCCUGAGAGGGCCUGACGGGGCCAGUAAGGGCUGUGCCUUUGUCAAGUUCUCCAGCCACACAGAAGCACAGGCGGCCAUCAGCACGCUGCAUGGCGGCCAGACCAUGCCGGGGGCCUCUUCCAGCCUGGUGGUGAAGUUUGCGGACACGGACAAGGAGCGAACCCUGCGGAGAAUGCACCAGAUGGCCGGUCAGCUGGGCAUCUUUAGCCCCAUGACCAUCCAGUUCGGAGCCUACGGAGCCUACACCCACACUCAAAUGAUGCAACAGCAAGCGGCUCUUAUGGCCGCCGCCCAGGGUUCGUACCUCAACCCCAUGGCGGCAAUCGCAGCGGCGCAGAUGCAGCAAAUGGCAGCUUUCAAUGUCAACGGCCUGGUGGCGGCUCCCAUGACGCCCUCCUCAGGCACCAGUACACCCCCGGGUAUAAGUGCCACUGCCGUGCCUAGCAUAGCCACACCCAUCGGGGUGAAUGGAUUUAGUGCCCUCCCACCCCAGACCAAUGGGCAGCCAGCGUCCGAACCCAUCUACACCAACGGGAUUCACCCCUACCCAGCACAAAGUCCCACUGUGGCUGACCCUCUCCAGCAGGCUUAUGCUGGUGUCCAGCAUUACGCAGCAGCUUACCCCGCUGCCUAUGCGCCAAUCAGCCAAGUGUUUCCACAGCAACCAGCCAUCAUUCCCCAGCAACAGAGAGAAGGGCCCGAAGGCUGCAACCUCUUUAUUUACCACCUACCACAGGAAUUUGGAGACCCCGAGCUCAUGCAAAUGUUCCUGCCUUUCGGCAACGUCAUCUCUGCCAAAGUCUUUGUGGACCGGGCGACCAAUCAGAGCAAGUGUUUUGGAUUUGUCAGCUUUGACAACCCGUCCAGUGCCCAGGCUGCCAUCCAGGCCAUGAACGGCUUUCAGAUCGGCAUGAAGAGGCUGAAGGUUCAACUCAAGCGGCCGAAGGACGCCAACCGACCUUACUGACCCCUCUGCCGAGCUCAUCAGGCAGGGCCAAUCAUAGCUCGAGAUGGCCUUCCUGUUGUCUAGCCACCAGUCAUGGGGGACAAACUCCCAGACCUGAUGAAGGGCCACAAAAUCUUAUUUCCACAAGUGCAGUAUAAAGUGCAAAGACGUCUUGCUCUGCUACAUAUCAUGAGAGAAGGAUGGUCCUUUGAUAAGUCAGAAGAAAAACCGAAAGAUCUGGCGAGAGGAACCAGCAGUUUUUUUUUUUUUUCAAAAACAAUUUUUCCUUUUUGCCCCAUCUUCUUUUCUCUUCUUCUUUGCCAUUAAUGGAAGAGAAUUUUGCCAAUAUCAACUUUUUUGCUGCUGUUAGGAAGAUGGGCUGCAUUUACAGACAUUAUGCUGAAAGCAUGCAUGCCAACAUGUAUAUGAAAGAACAGGCACACACACACACACACACACACACACACACAAAUAUGCACGCACGCACACACAUUACACUAGCACGGAUGCAAAUGCACACACACACACUGUCUCCCUCUCUCUCUCUCACACACACACAUACACACAUGCACGCGUGCACACAUACACACAUACACACACACUCACACAUAAACAUGCACACACACACUGGCCUGCUGUAUUUUUGUUUUUUGUGCCUAUACAGGUGUUUUGUGAUCCUUGGCUACAGGGCUGACUGUGAGCUCUGGAAAAAAAAUGGACAAAGAAGAGAAUCCAGGAUUAUCUACACGCAUCAUUCCUUAGGAAAUAGGGACCAAAGGACUAAAUGCUUUUUAAAAGAAUAAAUAUACAUAUAAAUAUAUAUAUAUAUUUAAAGAAAAACUCUAUCUUGUAGCUGCAAGUAUUACAGUUAGUUUAAAAAAUCAUGAAGCAAAAGUCCAGUGGCCUAAGUAUGGGUAAAAGUAUCAGAAAACAAAUGAAAAAAGAAAUGUUUUUAAAAUGGUGAAAAUUAUUUGUUCUGGUAGAUAUUUACAUUGUAUUGUACCAGGUAGUUUAGAGAGGUAGGUUAAAAGUAGAUUUACAGUUUACUGGUGUUUCUUUUUAAAGAAAAUAUAUAGUUCCUGAACUUGAGAAGGAAGGAUAAAAAAGAAAAUUAAUCUUUUUUUCUGUCCUAGUGAAUACUAAGUCUGUACAGAACAUUAAAGUUUGGCCACUGGAUAGCUUUCUCAUCAAAAUGUACAUUUCACUGCAACUAUCUGACAACUACAAAUGGAGAAAAGGAGAAAAAAACUGAAAAUCUUAUUAUGCCUGCUCGGGGCAGGGUGCAUUUUUCUCUUGACUUCCCAUAAGCCUUUGUGUUCAAGCGACAAUCUACUGAAAAGACCAAGUGAAAUGGACAAGGCUUUUUUCUUCUUUUUUUCUUUUUUUCCCCUCUACUGCGACAAGAAACGUAGUGUCAUUUUAACGUAUCAUUUAAAAAGCAAAAAAGAAAAAAAAGGUACUGCGAAGGAGUCAAUGGACAGCACAUGAGCAUAAUGUGAGGGCGAGGACAAACGGUUUGCCACUGCUGAGUGAACCUGAGAAUUCAUUGGCUGCUGUGGUGUUUCCGAAACUCCCUGGCUACCAAGGCUGAUGCAGUUUUUGACUCGUGAAAGGACAAGGCCAUUUUGGGCUCAGUCUGCCGCUGUGAGACUGAGUCUGAUCGAUGCUUGUUUCCCCGCAGAUAUGUCCGCAUUUUGGUGUAAGGGUGAAUGUUUCCCACUGACAACACAAAAGCAGAAAAUGACUGUCUGGGAAAACUGUAGCCAAACACCAAACAGUGUGUGUCUAAAGAGUGUAGACCAAAAGCUGAAACUCAUUUAGCUCUGUUACUCUUUUAUGUAAAUGGUAGUAUGUACAAAGACCUUGGCCUGCUUCCUUUAUGUUUUAUAUAAUGAGCACUGGAAAAAAAAAACCUAUCAUCUUAUAUAUUCCAUAUUUAAACCCAGCCUCCUGUAUACAGUAUAGUAUAUCAAGGCCAUAUGAAAGUUAAUAGGUAGAACAUAGCUCUAAUCUGCCAUCCCUCUAAAGCAGCAUGACAUUUAAAGCGAAGACCUUUCCUACAAUGCCUGUUUCAGUUAAACUGCCUUUUGACCUGAGAAGCUUUGAUUUUUACCAUUUACUGGUUCUCUCAGGUAUCACAUUUGCAUUGCUUUAGCGCCAGGAAGGGAAAGCAAGCACUCUUUCCAUUUGCGAGCAUCCAAAAUGAAUUUACCUGUUAACACCUUUCCAGCUGAACACCAGCACGUACCUUCCCCCACAGGCUAGGUCACGUCAACUGCUGGGGAGGGCAACAGAGCUGCAAGGCAAGGUACAUUUGAAUCAGGAGAAGUCCGAGAUGAUGGGGGGAAGAGGUGAAGCAGAUGUCAGCACUCAAAGCCAAGCUGACCUCUGACCCCCAAGCCAGCCAUAGGUCUCACAUUUAUUCUACUGAAGUGGAGUGCAAUGGAAGACUACCCAGGGACCAAAUACAAGCCACUGAAACCCCAAGCAUCCCCUUCUCAAUCGCAGAGCAUGCGGAUUUAGGAUGUCACUAUGGAUUUGGUAGGAAAUAUUUUAUAUUUCUGAAGGUUUUUCUCCAAAGCUGAACAGGUACAUUCCAGGCUGGCACAGAAUUCUGUAAAGUUUCCAAUUGAAAAACCAUCUCAAAGCACUCCUGGUACAGCCCUUUCCUGUGUAACACUCCACAUAGCAAGGCUGAGAGGCCCUUCCUGGAACAGUGCACAGAAACUUUACUGAGGUUAGGAUGUAAGUGAGUGAGACGGAGUCUCACUUUUUUUUCCAGAAAUAAAAGUUAUAUAACAAAAUUGGGUUGAAAUGGGUUCUGACCAAUAAUGCAGUCUUUCACUUGUUGAAAGCACCCAACUCCUCAGCCUUGCAAGCCAAAUCAGGAACCGAGUGCUUUCAGCCAUUACGGUCUGUUUGAAUGCCUUUGUGCUUUGUAAGAGUCCAUCCCUAAUUAUGUUUCAAUGCGUCCAUUUUAAAUUGAAAACAGGCAGGAAAACAGUGGUACAUUACACUAUUACGAAUGCAACAAUGAAGAAAAUAUAAAGAGAAAAAGCAGUGUUGACUUGCUGUACCGGGACUACAUUGCCUUCCCUCAGGAAGCUGUUAUAUUUAAUACGUAGCCUUUAAAUCAGAAACUAGAAGCAGUUUUUUGUUCCUACUGGUCUGUUUUGAGCACAGCCACUGUUUUCUCUACUGUUUUGUGUGUUUCUGGCACCUACUGAAGGUGCUAACCAGUUGGACCAAAGCUAAAGUACGGUGAAGCUGAUUCUUUAUUAUAUUAGCGCUGUUGAAAAGGUUUUAUCUGAAAUUGUGAAGGAUACGUUCUCUGUGUUAUUGAACCACGGAAGGCUAUUUCUUUGCUCACCCCAGUAAACAUUUUUUAAAUAACAUUUUUUGUUCCAGAUCAUUAGUUUUUUUUUAAUUUAUUUAUUUAUUUAUUUAUUUAUUUAUUUAUUUAUUUUAUUUUAUUUUUUUGGUUCUGCCUCUGUUUGUUUGUUUUUCCUAUCUAUGGAAUUUUUUUUCUGUUCCCUGGUGGUAAAUUUGAGCAAAUUGUAGACUGAAUGUCAUACUAAAUUAAUACGAAUUUUAAUGUGCGCUGACUGAGCAAAUUGCCGGGUAAGAGUGCAGGGUAAGACUCAAGGUCUCCGUGUCUUUCUGAUCUAAGAAAAGAAAUGCUGCCCUUACACUGGAACAGUCGGAGUAAAGUUCAGUCCCUGUCUGAGAGAGCCAGUCUCCCCACAGCUGGCUAGCGCAUCACCACGACCCUGAAAUCGCCUCUCUGUUGCACCAGGGCGCAAAUAAACAGACUUGGAGAGUAAAUUCUAACCACAUUCAAUCAGAAAGCUUUCCUAGUGAAGGCACUCCCAUUAUCCUUACACCCCGGGAGAGGAUAUUAUAGCAACAUGUAGGCAAAUGUAGAUAUAACCCAUGAUAUGGUACUGCAGGUAUUGGAAUUCCACAUUAUAUUGUUUAAUAUUAUGGUUAUAUUGCAUUUUCAUUGUUUGUUUGUUUUGAAUUUGUUGAAAACUUACAGUAGCUGCUUAUGACGUCCACUGUUGAGGGUAGCAGUUCUUGUUUGAUGCUCAGUCGGGUUACCCGUUCACUGUGCCAGCUGUCCACACAUCCUGUUUCUCAAGGUGAUAAGAACACCAGGGCAAUCCAGUGUACUGCACUGUGGCUAAUAUUAUGUUAGGAAGCCACAUUGAAGUCUGAAUGUACUGUCGCACAAGCUUUUUGUUACCCUUGAUGUGGGCCUGUCAGCCUAAAUGAAUAGUGAGAGGCUAGUAUGUAUGUUGUAACCUCGUGAAUCAUUGAGAUCUAUGGCUUCAUAUAGGUCAACAGAACCUUCAUUGCUGACUUCAUUAGCAAUGUUUGUGGUAAUUAUCACAGAAGGACAUACAGUGAACAAGAAGGUAUGCGCUUUUUUCCACAUUUUUAGUGAUGGGUGAGGGAGUAAGUACAUGAACAUUACCCUAAGACUGGUUGCCUGAUAUUUAGUGGCCCUAAAUAACUCCGAUAUUUUAAGAAAAAUGGAAGGGAAUACCUUUGCACAAUUCAGCACAAUGCGAACAAAAGUGUGAUUCAAUCUGCUAUGACAUUCUUGUUAGAAUGAAAACCUAAUAAAUUGCUAAGUUACUGCUGAGGCACCCAGUGUAGAUAUAGACCAGAGACAUCUCUCAGCUGAUGAGGUUCUGCACCAGAGACACCUCUCAUCUGAUGAGGUUCUGCACCAGAAAAAUCUCUCAGCCAAUGAGGUUCUGCACCAGAAACACCUCUCAGAUGAUGAGGUUCCAGAGCAGAGAUCUCUGUCAGCUGAUGAGGUUCUGCACCAGAAACACCUCUCAGCUGAUGAGGUUCCAGAGCAGAGAUCCCUGUCAGCUGAUGAGGUUCUGUACCAGAGACAUUGCUGGUGAGGUCUCUGGCAAGCAGGGCAAGGUUUGUGCAAUUUCUAUUAUGGGGCUGCAUUAUUGCUUGGCUAGGUUUCCAUGAGGACUUGUUAAAUCAGCAAGUCAUGUAAGUAUGCAAGCGCCAAGAGUAGAAAUCAUAACUGAUUGAAUUGCAAAUUAAAUGAAGUUGUUGUACCUGCCGGAAUCAUUCAUUAGAGUCUCCUGUUUUCCAGACAGAGAAUGUGCUACUUAAAAUAGUAGAAAGCAUUUGUUCAGAAGUGGACAUUUGAUGUAAAUGGCUGAAACUGAGAGCUAAUUAAAGGAACCUUACAGUCUUACCGGAGAGUGCAAAUGAUUGCCUCCAGUUUAAUAGCCUUUUAAGAACAUAAGGUCUCAUUUUUUCAUUCAUGUUUUCCGGAAAUUAUGAACAGACAAUGCAGGGAUCAGUCCAGCUCCAGAGCACCAGCUGUGCAGUAACAGUGUGUAUAGAAACAGGAGAAUGACCGGGAAGAAGAGUGAGUGGGUGCUAAACUGAAACUCCACAAAAUCACUCAGGUUACUCAGGGUAUUGGGCGUAACGAUGUCAUGAUUCGUGGUGAAUUUCAGAGCCUUACCCAUAAGCAUUGUCAGUAAGGAAUAAAAGGAUUCAUUGUAACACGGAGACUAUCUGGGAGUUCCAAGAGGCUGUUCAGCAUUGAAUUCAACCAAACCUAAAUGGCUUUGCACAGUUUUCAAAGGCCAUGAUCCUAAUAAUACAAACUCUAAUGAUGGACAUUACUAGGCUCCAGCUGUAAUAUGAUAACCAGUCAAAAGACUAUUAUAUAAGUUAACCAAGGAGGCUGAGAUUCCUGUCCAGCUAAAUGGGGGAAAUAGGUUUUUAGUAUUUGUUAAGGAAAAAUUGAAGCAGGUUGUAAAUACUGUACAGAAAACUGUGUUUCCCGGAGUGUAUAACAUACCAUGAUGUCAAUUGAUAAUGUAUCUCCAAAAUGACAAGAAUUUUGAAUUCAGUUUGAUUUUUGGCCAUUGUUUUCUCUUAUCUCUUUUUGUUUUGUUAUUAAGUAGAUGCAGUACAAAAUGAGAUAUGACAGACCUCAUAAAGUUGCUAAUUAAUGAGGAACCAGGAAUGAUCUGUCAACUGGGAUUGUGUUUACACUGGCAGGUUGUGAUAUUUCUAAAAGCUGAAGGAUUGCCUACCGUAUGUGAUAACUAGACUGGAUUCAGGCUUCCCUGACUGGGUAAACAGAUGUAUUUAUCCUCAAAGACCUUUUGGGCGAAAUGACGUCUCAGUUCUGAGAGCCAGGUAGAGGUAGCAUGGCAGCCAUGAAAAGCAAAUGGCACGCUCAUGAUGCUCAAUGGUAGCUCAUGAUGUGUAGGCACGCCUAGGCGGGGCAAAUGAGUGGCUUUUAAAAUAAAUAUAUCACAGUCAAUAAAGUUAUAUCCUCUUCAAACACCAUGCCAGGUGAAUCAUUUUCUCUGUUACUGGGAAAAAUAAUACCUGGACCACAAAGUGUGCGCCAGGGCUGGAGCCCAGCUCUGUUAGUGAUCCUGUGCCAUGACAAACUGCUGAUCGCCUUGAGCUUACGUGUCCCAGCCUGCCUAUGCUCUCUGCAAGAUACUCUGACUUCAGUACUUGUGCAUAUAUACAGUAAUAUAGGUUAUUUUUAAAUUCUGUUCAAAUUCAGCCAUCUUUGUAGUCUGUACAAUAAAACAUUAAAAAGGAAAUUAAUAGUUAAUAUAUAAUAUUCACUCAGUUGAAGAGGAGGAAACUAUGAAAUAAUUUAUUAGAAAACGUGAACAGAGAUAAUUAGUUUUUCUUUUUUUCUGGUACCUGAACAAUGUAAUGUAAAAAUGUUUUCCUUUUUUAUUUGCGGAAUUUUUAUUUUACACAUUUUUCUUUUGUAUUCACUAAAGCUGGGAUGAGUCUAGUUGUCCUCAGUGUUCAUUCAGAUAUGCUUUGAAGAUUGAAAGAACAGUUACUGUAUUAGCUGAAUCCCAAUUAAUUUUCUGUGAGCUCUUAGAAAUAUGAAGGAAAUGUGAAAAAAUUUGCAAGAACAGUACAAUGGGAAUGCAAGAAAAAAUAAUUCACAGCAGAAUUCAAUUCAGUUAAGACAAAGGGAGCCUCCUGGAAGAAAGGGUGUGUUUGAACCAGAGUAAAUGACUGACACCUCAACCUUGGAUCCAGCUUCAUGCUUUGAAACCUAAGCACCCUGGUAUGAAUAAUGUUGUUCUGUAGUCAUACAUUCUCUUUUGUCUCAUCAGUUCUUAAUGUUCAUUUGUAAAGCUUGUUGACUCGAAGGAGCACAGGAAACAGUCUGUGUUUUCAUCAGAAUGGUAUAUAUAUGAACAUUUUGAAGUCUGAGCCCAUUAUUACUUCUGAUUUUGCUUUUACUUCUGAAUUGCCAUAUUUGGCAUACCUGCCUGAGAAGAUGAUGUGCCAAUAACUGGGAAAAAUAUUUUGUCGUGAGAUCAGCUUAUGGUCCAGAAACUGAACACAGAUGAAAUUAACAGGAAGUCAGCCUUAAACAAAGAUCAUUGUUUGUAAAAAAAAAAAUGCUGCCCAUAGAAGCUUGGAAAUUGUAAUCUGAUUAAGCCAAGGCCUGUUUAUCUGCCCAUGUCCUGGCUUUCUGUUGCUCAUGCUCUGAUCUCCCUCUGGUGUUGCUGAGGGGAGAGAUGUCAUGAUACUGCUGUCCAGCUGCUGAUAGUGUGAGCUUUUACCUCAAUCCCAUUUCUGGUACCAAUACGGGGUGGAUCAUAUUCUCUGAUUUUCAUGUGUAUAAGGACCAAAUUUUACCUUUGUAGACCGACUGUCUAGUUACGAUGUUUCAUACAGUGCCCAAAGCUAUCAAAAAAAAAGGGGGGGGGGGGGGAAUCACAGAAAGGCAGUCUGAGCAUGUAAGAUUGCAGGAGGAAAGAUUCCCAGCUUUAAUUUAAUUUUUUUUUUUUUCAUUCAUGUCUAUUUGAUUUUUCUCAGCCAAAUAUAAAGCUGUCAUAUUCUAUGGAAUUGUUUAUUUAUCUGCCUAUUUAUUAAUUAAUUUAUAAAAUGUCUCGGUUGACCUACCUAAAUAUAUGCCCUUUUAAAUCCUUAUUUCUUGAAGAAACAAGUUUUAUGUUGAUUUUCAGGAAACUGCUGUAAUUUAAAAUGUUGGUAAGGGCCUUUUUCCCUGGUCUGGAGAAAUUUCUCCUGUAGUGCUCCAGAACUCUGUAGUUCUCUAGUUCAUUAUAUUCUGCUUAGACUAAAAUAAAGCACAGUCCUGUAGAA